rnacentral:rRNA from 1 species
GACGGAAGGUGCAAGCGUUGCUCGGAAUCACUGGGCGUAAAGGGUGCGUAGGCGGCUUGGUGGGUCUGGUGUGAAAGCCCCGGGCUCAGCCCGGGAAGGGCACUAGAAACUGCCGAGCUGGAGUGCCGGAGGGGAGAGUGGAAUUCCUGGUGUAGCGGUGAAAUGCGUAGAUAUCGUAAGGAAGACCAGUGGCGAAGGCGGGUCUCUGGACAGUUCCUGACGCUGAGGCACGAAGGCCAGGGGAGCAAACGGG